rnacentral:rRNA from 1 species
AAUGAACGCUGGCGGCGUGCCUAACACAUGCAAGUCGAGCGAGCGGCGGACGGGUGAGUAAUGUAUGGGGACUGCACGAUAGAGGGGGAUAACUACUGGAAACGGUAGCUACUACCGCAUACUAUCGGAUAACCCAUAUGGGAUUAGCUCGUAGGUGAGGUAAUGGCUCACCUAGGCGACGAUCCCUAGCUGGUCUGAGAGGAUGAUCAGCGACACUGGGAAUAAGACACGGCCCAGACUCCUACGGAGGCAGCAGUGGGGAAUAUUGGAGAAUGGGCGCAAGCCGGAUGAAGCCAUGCCGCGGGUAUGAAGAAGGGCCUAGGGUUGUAAGGUACUUUCAGUCGGUAGGCGUUACCGACAGAAGAAGCACCGGCUAACUACGUGCCAGCAGCCGCGGUAAUUC